rnacentral:rRNA from 1 species
GACGAACGCUGGCGGCGUGCUUAACACAUGCAAGUCGAACGCUGAAGCUCAGCUUUUGUUGGGUGGAUGAGUGGCGAACGGGUGAGUAACACGUGAGUAACCUGCCCCCUUCUUUGGGAUAACGCCCGGAAACGGGUGCUAAUACUGGAUAUUCACUGGUCUUCGCAUGGGGGUUGGUGGAAAGGGUUUUUCUGGUGGGGGAUGGGCUCGCGGCCUAUCAGCUUGUUGGUGGGGUGAUGGCCUACCAAGGCUUUGACGGGUAGCCGGCCUGAGAGGGUGACCGGUCACAUUGGGACUGAGAUACGGCCCAGACUCCUACGGGAGGCAGCAGUGGGGAAUAUUGCACAAUGGGCGCAAGCCUGAUGCAGCGACGCCGCGUGAGGGAUGGAGGCCUUCGGGUUGUGAACCCCUUUCGCUCAUGGUCAAGCCGCAACAAUGGUUGUGGUGAGGGUAGUGGGUAAAGAAGCGCCGGCUAACUACGUG